GACGAACGCUGGCGGCGUGCCUAAUACAUGCAAGUUGAGCGAUGAAGAUUGGUGCUUGCACCAAUUUGAAGAGCAGCGAACGGGUGAGUAACGCGUGGGGAAUCUGCCUUUGAGCGGGGGACAACAUUUGGAAACGAAUGCUAAUACCGCAUAACAACUUUAAACAUAAGUUUUAAGUUUGAAAGAUGCAAUUGCAUCACUCAAAGAUGAUCCCGCGUUGUAUUAGCUAGUUGGUGAGGUAAAGGCUCACCAAGGCGAUGAUACAUAGCCGACCUGAGAGGGUGAUCGGCCACAUUGGGACUGAGACACGGCCCAAACUCCUACGGGAGGCAGCAGUAGGGAAUCUUCGGCAAUGGACGAAAGUCUGACCGAGCAACGCCGCGUGAGGGAAGAAGGGUGUCGGAUCGUAAAACUCUGUUGGUAGAGAAGAACGUUGGUGAGAGUGGAAAGCUCAUCAAGUGACGGUAACUACCCAGAAAGGGACGGCUAACUACGUG
rnacentral:rRNA from 1 species